ensembl:lncRNA
GUUUGCCGCCGAAUACGUCACUCCCAUUUCUUGCGAGAUUUCUUGACUGCUUCAUUUUCUCUGGCGGUUGCCUCGGUCUAAAGGACCGCGGUCGUCAGGCGGCAAGACGCUUUUAAAUACAAGGCUACUCACAAAAUCGACCGGCCAUGUUGGUUUGGACACACAUUCGCAUCAGUUCGUCGCUCAAUCGCGAGUUACAGCCUGCAGUUUGCCAGCUAGCAAAGUCAUCGACUACCAUCGUUUAAGUAAGUACAUGUUUCCUUUUUGUGUAACACAAUAUUAUGUUUACAUUGUUUUUAGUUUAUAUAUUUAAAAUGUGUAGUAAUCUUUGUUCAUGCCUAACUAUCUAAAGUAGCCUUGUUUACGCAAUGUUGUUGGUACAUCUAGAAUUUUAACGAGCUAUAAUAGGUAACAAAAGCUUUACAUCUAGAAAGACUAAGUUUCACUUUUAGUGUUUUCUUACAAAAAUAAUGAUGUAUAUAUGUUGUUUAAAUUAUUUUGUUUGCCUGAACAAGUAUGCUGCUAGUCCAGUAGCUAGAGUGGCUAGUAAGUGUUAGCUAGCACAUGCUGUUUUGCCUUUGUUACAGUACACACUGUGGUUAGCAAGUUUUGUGCUGUGUUGCUACUGUACUGGAUUUAAGGCGAUUCACUUGAAUCACAACACUCUGUGAAUAAAUUUUAUUUUUAACAAUUUCACUGUUCCACAUUUGGCUGAUAAUGUUUCCCCCCCCCACAGCAUAGCUACUGUAUAUUUUCUUGCAGAUACCUUGGCCAGAGCAUAACCAGUUAUCUUCACCCAAGAGACCUACUGUUGGUCAAUCGUUUUGGUCCAUCCAUCUUCUUCCGCUUAUCCGGGGCCGGGUCGCGGGGGCAGCAGUCUAAGCAGGGAUGCCCAGACUUCCCUCUCCCCAGACACUUCCUCUAGCUCUUCCGGGGGGACACCGAGGCGUUCCCAGGCCAGCCGGGAGACAUAGUCCCUCCAGCGUCUCCUAGGUCUUCCUCCUAGGUCUUGACCCAAAGCUCAUGACCAUAGGUGAGAGUAGGAACGUAGAUUGACUGGUAAAUCGAGAGCUUCGCCUUGCGGCUCAGCUCUUUCUUCACCAUGACAGACCGAUACAUCGACUGCAUUACUGCAGAAGCUGCACCGAUCCGUCUGUCAAUCUCCCGUUCCAUCCUUCCCUCACUCGUGAACAAGACCCCUAGAUACUUAAACUCCUCCACUUGAGGCAGGCAAUCGUUUUGGUUUUAAAGGUAAAUGCAUUGUUAGUCACAAUGUCUAGUUACUGGGCCAAAAGGAAAAUAAUAUUGAAAAGAGUUGAGAGGGACAAACAGGACAUUCACUUGAAUCACUACAUGCUACAGAAGUUGCAUCGAUUCCAGAAAACCAGGAAAAUUUUGAGCCAUCUGUAGACUUCAGAGCUGGUAUGUAAAAUGUAUUGCUGUGAUGCUUAAUUUGUGAUCCUGUAACUAAACUAUACACUGUUAGAUUUUCAAAUUUCUGUUCCCUCUUUCUCAGAACCAGGUUUCUCCCCUGUAAUCCAGACUCCACUUCACAGAGCCAAGAGUUUGAUUACAAGGCACUUGACUUUCUGGAUAAAAGGUAUCGAGCUCGUCAUGUACUAAGCUUUACACCACCAGCAGCAAAUUUACCCUGGCAGCAUAUGGGUGAAAACACUGGAGGAGAAAGUAAUCGCUUUGUUAUUGGCCCUUGGACGCCCCUGGCAUCUCAUGUACAGCAUGAAGUUUUCAGCUAUGAAGAUUUCCAGAGACUCCAGAAUGAACCAAGCUCUGAGGGAGGAGAACCAAGCCCUGAGGGAAUGCAUUGCACAAGCAGCUUCGGAUGACAGCGGCUCACUUCAAGAGCAGGUGAAGCAAGUAGGGACAAUGUUGAAGACGUUUGCUCUCACUGGGCAAUCAGGUGCGUUACCUGAAAGGAGCAUCUGACCAUGAAGGCAGAAAAAGCCGCACAGCUGAGAAGGACCCACAGCCGACCCCUUAAACCUAGGCUGACUACUGACACCCCAGCAUCACUGAACUGGAACACUUUCUUUAUCCUGCAGUCAGUAACAUCAAGAAGCCAGAAGUGCCAGACCACACUCACCAAAUCCACCCUGGGUUUUUUUGUUGGUUUUUUAACUUUAGUAUUGGCUUAUUUAAUUCCGUCUUAACGAUUCUAUUAUAGUUUGUAAAUCCUAUUUCAUACCUGUUACUUGAUAUUGCACAUUAACUAGUACCAAAAUUCUACUUUCAUUUCAUCAGUGUGCUUAACUGUUAUUCUAUUAAUAAUAGCUUGGAAAUACUAUUUCGUACCCCUGAUACUUGAUAUUGCACAUAACCUGGUACCAAAUAUUCUACUUACUCUGUUUUUAACAUCAGCAUUUUUCAUUCCAUCACAGUGCUUAACUGUUAUUCUAUUGUUAAAUAUAGCUUGUAAAUCCUUGUGCCAAAGGUCAGCAUUGCUGUUAUAAUGGUCUGUUCUACUACUGUUUUUACCUCUGUAUUUUUAUAUGAAUAUAUAUGUCAAGUUUUGUUUAUCACAGAUACAAGAGACACAAAUCUUGUUGCAGCACGGUGUAAAUCUUGUGCUCCAGGUCAGCAAUGCCAUUAUAACGGUCUAUUCUACUCUAGAGCUUUACUCUAAAUUAUUACCUCUUUUCCUAUUGUUAGAAAUGGCUUGAAAAUGUGAUGUUAUACCUCGAUUUAUUUGGUAUCCUGCACAUUCUUUGAUACCAAAUAUCCUCAUUACUUAUGUUUACUGGUAAAUAUUUUCAUCCCAGAGCUGACCUCUUUAUAUUAUUAACAAUUAUUGUGUUUGUGUUAUAAUUUGCUUGUAUGGCUGUUUUUUAAAAACCAAAAUUUUAUUGGAAACCUG